AGCGUGAUCUCCAGCAAGACUCCCAGAAAAACCCGAGAUCGUCAGCGUGAUCUCCAGCAAGACUCCCAGAAAAACCGUCAGCGUAAUCACCAGCGAGAUCUC